GUGCCAGCCGCCGCGGUAAUACGAAGGGGGCUAGCGUUGUUCGGAAUUACUGGGCGUAAAGCGCGCGCAGGCGGUUCUUUAAGUCAGGGGUGAAAGCCCAGAGCUCAACUCUGGAAUUGCCUUUGAAACUAGAGAACUUGGGUACGGGAGAGGUGAGUGGAAUUCCGAGUGUAGAGGUGAAAUUCGUAGAUAUUCGGAAGAACACCAGUGGCGAAGGCGGCUCACUGGCCCGUUACCGACGCUCAGGCGCGACAGCGUGGGGAGCAAACAGGAUUAGAUACCCUCGUAGUCC
rnacentral:rRNA from 1 species